rnacentral:ncRNA from 1 species
UAAAGAGUUUUCUUUGGUAUUUUUAUAGGAUUUUAGCUUAUAUACAAAUUUUAGUGGGAUAUUUAAAAAAAUUUAAAGAAUUUAAUUAAGUAGAAGAAAGAAGAGUUGUAGUAAAAAAUAUUAAAAAUUUAAGGAAUUAAGAUUUAGUAAAUGAAAAUUAGUAUGAUUAAAAUUUGUGCCAGCAAUUGCGGUUACACAGAUUAUGCAGUAAAAGUAUUUCGAUUUUAGUUAUUUAUUUUAAUAGAAAAUAAAAAUAAGUUUAUUAGGUGAAAUUUUAAAUUUGUAUAUUUUUAGUAUAGUAGGAGAGGCUAGUAAAUUUUAUAAUAAACUAGGAUUAGAUACCCUAUUAUAAAAAUGUAAAUUUAAAGGUUAAAUUAGUAGUAGAUUUAUAUUCUUGAAAAUAAAUAAAGAUGGCGGUAUUUUAGUCUUUUCAGAGGAACCUGUUUUUAAAUUGAUAAUCCACGAUUAAAUCUACUUAUUUUUUUAGCUUGUAUAUCGCUGUAGGUUGAAUAUUUUUAUAAAAAUACAAUAUUCAAAAUUUAAUUUUAAAAGUAAAUCAAGUCAAGAUAUAGCUUAUAAAUAAGAUAAAAUGGGUUACAUUAGUUAAAUUUUUAGAUUAUUAGUUUUAAAUUAAUAUGAAAUUGGAUUUGAAAGUAAUUAUUUGUUUAUUCAAAUGAUGAUUUAAGCUCUAAAAUAUGUACAUAUCGCCCGUCGCUUUCACUUGAAAGUGAAAUAAGUCGUAACAUAGUAGAGGUACUGGAAAGUGUCUCUAGAGACUC